rnacentral:rRNA from 1 species
AGCAGCCGCGGUAAUUCCAGCUCCAAUAGCGUAUAUUAAAGUUGUUGCAGUUAAAAAGCUUGUAGUUGAAUUUCGGGAUUAGUACGCUGGUCGUGCCUUUGGUAUGUACUGGUGUUACUGGUUCCUACCUUCUGACGAACCGUCAUGUCAUUAGUUUGGUGUGGCGGGGAAUCAGGACUGUUACUUUGAAAAAAUUAGAGUGUUUAAAGCAGGCUCGCGCUUGAAUACAUUAGCAUGGAAUAAUGAAAUAGGACGUCCGAUCCUAUUUUGUUGGUUUCUAGGAUUGACGUAAUGAUUAAUAGGGAUAGUUGGGGGCAUUAGUAUUCAAUUGUCAGAGGUGAAAUUCUUGGAUUUAUUGAAGACUAACUACUGCGAAAGCAUUUGCCAAGGAUGUUUUCAUUAAUCAAGAACGAAAGUUAGGGGAUCGAAGACGAUCAGAUACCGUCGUAGUCUUAACCAUAAACUAUGCCGACUAGGGAUCGGAUGAUGUUAAUUUUUUAAUGACUCAUUCGGCGCCUUACG